rnacentral:rRNA from 1 species
UACAGAGGGUGCAAGCGUUGUUCGGAAUUAUUGGGCGUAAAGGGAGUGUAGGCGGCCUCUUAAGUCUUCUGUGAAAUUUACGGGCUUAACCUGUAGAGUGCAGAGGAUACUGGGAGGCUUGAGUGUCGGAGAGGAUAGUGGAAUUCCCGGUGUAGAGGUGAAAUUCGUAGAGAUCGGGAGGAACACCAGUGGCGAAGGCGACUGUCUGGCUGACAACUGACGCUGAGACUCGAAAGCAUGGGGAGCAAACAGG